CCUACGGGCGGCAGCAGUGGGGAAUAUUGCACAAUGGGGGAAACCCUGAUGCAGCAACGCCGCGUGAAGGAAGACGGUUUUCGGAUUGUAAACUUCUAUCAAUAGGGAGGAAAGAAUUGACGGUACCUAAAUAAGAAGCCCCGGCUAACUACGUGCCAGCAGCCGCGGUAAUACGUAGGGGGCAAGCGUUAUCCGGAAUUACUGGGUGUAAAGGGAGAGUAGGCGGCCAGUUAAGCGAUAUGUGAAAGCCUUAGGCUUAACUUAAGGAUGGCAUAACGAACUAUCUAGCUAGAGUACAGGAGAGGAAAGCGGAAUUCCUAGUGUAGCGGUGAAAUGCGUAGAUAUGAGGAGGAACACCAGUGGCGAAGGCGGCUUUCUGGACAGAGACUGACGCUGAGGCUCGAAAGCGUGGGGAGCGAACAGGAUUAGAUACCCGAGUAGUC
rnacentral:rRNA from 1 species